AUUGACACGUCUGUGAGUAGA
rnacentral:miRNA from 1 species